UACAGAGGUGGCAAGCGUUGUUCGGAAUUACUGGGCGUAAAGGGCGCGUAGGCGGCCCGUCAAGUCCCGUGUGAAAGCCCCCGGCUCAACCGGGGAACGGCGCGGGAAACUAGCAGGCUUGAGUUCGGGAGAGGGAAGCGGAAUUCCGGGUGUAGCGGUGAAAUGCGUAGAUAUCUGGAGGAACACCGGUGGCGAAGGCGACAUCCUGGACCGGUAUUGACGCUGAGGCGCGAAAGCCAGGGGAGCAAACGGG
rnacentral:rRNA from 1 species